AGAACUGGGCCGGGUCCCCGCCCCUUUCUAGGGCUCCUUCCAAUGACGGCUUGGGGGCAGGCUCGGGGCACACUUCCGUCCCGCCUUCCGGUGAGGGACGAUCCCGGGGCUGAGUAGAUUUCCGGCCGGGCUCGGCCGAGGGGUUUCCGCGGGUCUGUGUCCCUGGUCCUGCCGGCCGCUCGGGGAAGACUUCUCCCGCGGCGCGCGGAGGCCGCGCGGAGUCGGAUGUGCAAAUGCGAGCGUGAGGAAACCGCUUGGAAUGCUCGCCCCACCUCCACGCACAGAAAACCCCGGAGCGCCCUCGGCCGCGGAGCUCGGGGAGGAAAGAAUCCACCAGCAGCAGCCGAUGCACGGGUGGAAGGAACCACAGACUCUCCAGCGUGUGAGGACUUGGCAGUCCCUGACCUGCCUCUCUGGCAGGAACUGGGGCAUCUUCUGUCACCAAAGAAGAUGCUAUGCAGUGAGGCCGGGAUGAUGCUUCGGAAUUUUUCAUGCCUUGAGAUGAAAUUAACUUCAGAUUUCUUGUGUCCUUUUGUUCUCAUUCCGUGCUCACCAAGCAAUCUUCUGGUGGUUUGUUUAAUUUUCCGGGAAGGAGACUCUAAAGAACAGAUAUGUAUUGUAAAUUAAUAAAUUGGUGUAUUUACAUCA